rnacentral:rRNA from 1 species
UACGUAGGGUGCAGGCGUUUAAUCGGAAUUACUGGGCGUAAAGCGUGCGCAGGCGGUUUUGUAAGUCAGAUGUGAAAUCCCCGGGCUUAACCUGGGAACUGCGUUUGAAACUACAAGGCUAGAGUGUGGCAGAGGGGGGUGGAAUUCCACGUGUAGCAGUGAAAUGCGUAGAGAUGUGGAGGAACACCGAUGGCGAAGGCAGCCCCCUGGGUUAACACUGACGCUCAGACACGAAAGCGUGGGGAGCAAACAGG